GAUUUCUGGCUCGGUGCCCUCGGGUCGCUUAGUCACUUCUGUGGCUUUGUGUGUUCCGAGGUAAAGAGGGCCCUUUUCUUCAAAAGGGUGUUUCUGCGCCGACCAUCUCUUCCGGAAAGGCUGGUCUACCCUUCACUGGGCUGGGCUGGUUAAAUAUAAAUUUCUGGAUCCUUUACUGUGAAAAAAUUAGAGUGUUUAAAGCAGGCAUGAUUUGCAUUUGAAUACAUUAGCAUGGAAUAAUAAGAUAGGACUCUGGUUCUAUUUUAUUGGUUUCUGGGACUGGAGUAAUGAUUGAUAGGGACAGUUGGGGGUGCUAGUAUUCAACGGCCAGAGGUGAAAUUCUUGGAUUCGUUGAAGACUAACUAAUGCGAAAGCAUU
rnacentral:rRNA from 1 species